rnacentral:misc_RNA from 1 species
GAUGAAGAACGCAGCGAAAUGCGAUAAGUAGUGUGAAUUGCAGAAUUCAGUGAAUCAUCGAAUCUUUGAACGCACAUUGCGCCCCUUGGUAUUCCAUGGGGCAUGCCUGUUCGAGCGUCAUUUGUACCUUCAAGCUUUGCUUGGUGUUGGGUGUUUGUCUCGCCUUUGCGUGUAGACUCGCCUUAAAAUAAUUGGCAGCCGGCGUAUUGAUUUCGGAGCGCAGUAUAUCUCGCGCUUUGCACUCAUAACGACAGCGUCCAAAAGUACAUUUUACACUCUUGACCUCGGAUCAGGUAGGGAUACCCGCUGAACUUAAGCAUAUCAAUAAGCGGAGGA